rnacentral:lncRNA from 1 species
UCCCCCAGCCCCGCCGCGGGCCGCACCUCUCUGGACGGCGCUGUCAGGAGUAGGAGUUCAGCCCCAGCGCAUCCGCGCCAGGACCCGGGCUCUGUGGCCACUGAGUGCAGAACACGCCGAGCUUCGGAGGUCUGGGAGUUCCAAGUGGAAUUUGAAUUUUUAAUCUAAUUGUCUGAUUCGUGAACUCGGAAGCUGACGUCACGCCCAGACGUCCCAAGGUAUGAGCUGUAGAUACGCACGUGAGCGCUGGUGGGAGACGCCAGGCUGGGAUUUCCGCUCGAUCUGGGAAUGAGCAAUGCAACCUAAUGACACCCAGAGCUCCUGAAUCACCCGAGGAAAAUGACGAGAGACUCCCUCCGGUGGGAACGUCUCCUAGAAACAAGGCCUAAGAUGGGGCGACAACAGCCCCACAGCUGUGUCCAGAUGCAGGGAGCACUCGCCUGUGCUGUGAGGGACGGCCGGUGUCAUCGUUGGAGCUUCCUAAGAGUCCCAGAGGCUGAUGCACCUCCCAGACUCUCCUCGGCCCGGCUCCCUGGGCCCUGCUCCAGGGGCUUCAUUGCUCCCUGCCCCGGGUCACCCCUCGGCUCACCGUCUCUCAGGUGUGGAAUAUCCUGCUCCAAUCAAAGCCAUGUCACCUGCGUUGUCCAGUGAAACAUCAGUGGACAGGCGCUGCCCGGGCUCCAGGGAGCUCCUCACUGAGGCUCACUCCCUGUGCCUCUGCCAUCAGCACAGGGGGACAUGCCUGGCUGCCUGUGGGACCAGGGAGGACGCGCGGUGCGGGAGCAGAGCCAGCCACACUGCCGCUGCUGCACUGUUCAUCUGAGUGGCGCAAGGGCAAGGAGAGGACCGUGCAUCCUCAGUGACAGUGGUGCCUCACCAUGCUUUAGAGAAGCCUGUCCUUGCCCCCGAGCUGCUCUCCAUGGAGUCCUGUUUGCGCACCGGAGGUCCCUGUGAAGGAGCGUCCAUCAGGUCUGGACGUGCACCUGACCUCGCUGACUGAGAACGUGGUGACUAAGGUGACUAAUGCUCCAUUACUUCUGCGUCUGAUACCCAGGUCCAUGCAGGCUUCUCUGGCCUCUGUCCUUGGAUCCUUAAAUUAAUCCAAGGAUGCAGCAGUUGGGGCCUCACUGGAGAACUCGUGUAUUUACCACACAGGAGACUGAGGCAGGGAGUGGGUUACGGAGGGGACGGGAGAGCUGAGAAGUCAGAUGGGGGCUGGGAGGCAACUCAGAGGCCAGGAGAGAAGGCGGCGGCUCCAUCCCUGGGCUGGAGCGGGGUGGGUGGUGCUGGCGGAGCCCAGGGCUGGGGUCUCUGGGGAAGCUGGACCCACAGCAGCCUCGGUGUGCAGGAACGACGUGCGCAGCAGGCCGGAGGCUGCCUGAUUCUGACGCGUGUUCAUGGAGGCCCGUGUGCAGCGAUGAGCCCCAGCCAGCAUCCGGGUGAUCCCCAGCCAGCAUCCGGGUGAUCCCCAGCCAGCAUCCGGGUAAUCCCCAGCCAGCAUCCGGGUGAUCCCCAGCCAGCAUCCGGGAACUUGGCUUUUGGAACGUUUCCUGAGUGACUGGUUGACCAGGUCGUUUGUGCACUCAGGGAACUAAGCCGUUCCCUACCAGCUGCCUGGACUCUGCAGUGUGAUCAGCGCACGCCUGACUUCUGUCACCACAGUGGCUGCACAGGCAGAGGGUGCCUAUGUGACCAGCCCCCUGUAGAAGCCCCGCACUCGGAGACCUACACGGCCUCCCUGGGAAGCGACACUCUGGAUGUGUUGCUGACUUGGUUGCUGGAGCAAGACGCGUGUUUGGUGGACUCCCCUGGGUCUUUCUCCCCUGCUGAUCUUGCUACGUGGCCUUUCUCUGUAAUAAGCCAUGGAGUCCACUCUCUAAUCACGCAGUGUGUGGUGGCCCCAGGACCCCUGAGACGUGGAGCUGGCAGGGAAGACAGGCAGCUGCCCGAGGCGCUUGAGGCAGAGAAGGAUGGGGAAUAGCCUGGCUCCUCCCCGCCCCCCAUCACCCACCAGGGCCUCUCACUGUCUGAGCUCAGCCUGAGGCUAGCUGACCAGGGGUGUGGGAAGCCCAACUCUACAAAUUCGCAGCAGAUCAGCCCCCAACCCCCACAAAUUCCCAGCAGAUCAGGAAGGGCGGGGCAUGGAUGAAAGGGCAUCAGGGCCACAGGCCCAGGACAGGCACGUGGGUUGCUCUUGGAGGCAUUUGCAGGUACACUAAGAAGCUCCAGGAAGGACACACACACACACAUAUACACACACAUACACAUACAUAUGCACACACAUACAUACACAGACACACACACACACGUACACAGACACACAGACACACAUACACACACACAUUCCCCUGCCCUCCCAUCUCCAGACCUUGCGGUCCCCAUGAGCUUCCCGAUUCCUGGCACUGCCGGGCUGUCCUGAAGGCUCUUUUGGCCAGAAAUGGGCAGGGAUCUGAGAGCACCUGCUGUCGGGUGAGUCCUACUGUACUCAUGUCAGAGAUUAGGACGAGAAGACACAGGAGUGAGCUGGGCUGGAGUCUCAGCUGCAGAUGACAAGGAGAGCACAGUGGAAAGCCUGGCCCACCUCCCCUCCCCACUGGGCCCCUGGGUGGGAUACCACCAUUUCCAGAAUGGGCUGUGGGUUGCGCGGGCUCCUGAGGUUCGCUGAACCGGGGCUCUGAGGGGUCCCCAAAGUGCUUCCUCCCUGUCCUGUGCCCCCACCCCAUGGGGUGGAAGAGCCGCCCACAGGCCUGGGUUCCGCCAUGCACAAGGGAACUGGACCUUGGUGACUAUUCAGGAGGGAGUCUCCGGGCUGCCCUUCCCAUGACCACAUGUCAAUCCCCUUUGGCCCCAAGGGAAUUUCUCAUAACCCUCCCUUGGAGGAGCCCCCUCGGUGCCAGCCCACCCUCAUCACUCUCUCCUGAACCCCCAUGAACAGACUCCGUGGCGCCUCCACCUGCCUUUGUCCCGCCAACCCUCCCUGUCCAGAGCAGCCAUGGGGCCUCUUACAGUUUUAAGUCUGUCUGCAUCACGCGUUUCCUCAGAGUCUCCUCAGGCUGGGUGAGUCCUCGUCCUAAUAGGCCCUGACUGCCUGGCGCUGCCUACCUCUCCUGCCUCAGCAGGAGCUGCCCACACCUGUCCUCAGCCAACCAAGCUCCUAACCGUCGGGGAUCCUGGGACUCGGGCCUGCCUUUGCUGGACACUUCCGUCAGAUUUCUACCUGGCCACGUUCCACUCUUUCUUAAGGAUUCUGCUUAAAAGUCACGUCCUCUAAGGCUCCUCGCUGGCCUUCCCCACCACAUUGAUGUCCAGAUGAAGAAACAAAAGUUCUGAGAGGUCUUCAGGAACUUGUAUAUAAUUACAGAGGUAAUAAGGAUUGGUUGGAAAUGAAACCAAGGGCUACCUCCUGUCCCCAAAGCUCAUGCUCUUAACCCCUUCACCAUGAGUUUCUGGUUCUAUUCCUAGACUCUAGGCAUCAUAUACUCCUGUUAAUACUUUCUGUCUUCAAGCAAGUCCAUUUACAUUUAUAUUAUAAAAGGUUAAAUUGUUCAUGAAUAUAGCUUCUAGAUUCAGACCACCUGGAUUCAAAUUUAGACUCCACAUAUACUGGCUGUGAGAUAUUGCCCAGUGUGCAUAAUCUUGCCAAGGCCUCAAUUUCUUCACUUAUAGUAUAGGGAAGACAGUAUGGCCUACCUAGUGACAAUGGAUGGUUGUGAGGAUUAAACGAGAUAAAUCAUGUAAAGCAUUUGCCUGACUCUUAUUAAGUGUUCAAUAAUACUCUCAUAGAGUGUAAACUCCUUUGAAAUUAGGCAUAAGACUUUAGGUAUAUAAAGAGCCUGAACAGAGAUGUACUUGAAUUCACGUCUUUAUAAAACACAAAAAUUAUUGCAACAAUCUUCAAAUAGUCUUCAAGCCUUCUCCACACAUUGUUGUAAUCUAUGUAAAGGAAAAUAAAAAAAUCUCAGCCAGGAGCGGUGGCUGAAGCCUGUAAUCCCAGCACUUUGGGA